rnacentral:rRNA from 1 species
GACGAACGCUGGCGGCGUGCUUAACACAUGCAAGUCGAACGGAAAGGCCCUGCUGUUGUGGGGUGCUCGAGUGGCGAACGGGUGAGUAACACGUGAGUAACCUGCCCUUGACUUUGGGAUAACUUCAGGAAACUGGGGCUAAUACCGGAUAGGAGCUCCUGCUGCAUGUUGGGGGUUGGAAAGUUUUGGCGGUUGGGGAUGGACUCGCGGCUUAUCGGCUUGUUGGUGGGGUAGCGGCUUACCAAGGCUUUGACGGGUAGCAGGCCUGGGAGGGUGACCGGCCACAGCAGGACUGAGAUGCGGACCAGCCUGCUACGAGAGGCAGCAGGCGGGAGUAUUACAAGAUGGGGCGAAGCAUGAUGCAGCAACCCAGCGGAGGGGGUGAAGGACUUCAGGUUGUAAACCGCUUUCGCCUGUGACGAAUCGUUAGUGCCGGUAAUGGAUAAAGAAGCACCGGCUAACUACGUG